rnacentral:rRNA from 1 species
CGCGGGAUUAGAGUUUGAUCAUGGCUCAGAUUGAACGCUGGCGGCAGGCCUAACACAUGCAAGUCGAGCGGUAACAGGAAUUAGCUUGCUAAUUCGCUGACGAGCGGCGGACGGGUGAGUAAUGCCUGGGAAUAUGCCUUAGUGUGGGGGAUAACUAUUGGAAACGAUAGCUAAUACCGCAUAAUGUCUUCGGACCAAAGAGGGGGACCUUCGGGCCUCUCGCGCUAAGAUUAGCCCAGGUGAGAUUAGCUAGUUGGUGAGGCAAGAGCUCACCAAGGCGACGAUCUCUAGCUGGUCUGAGAGGAUGAUCAGCCACACUGGAACUGAGACACGGUCCAGACUCCUACGGGAGGCAGCAGUGGGGAAUAUUGCACAAUGGGCGCAAGCCUGAUGCAGCCAUGCCGCGUGUAUGAAGAAGGCCUUCGGGUUGUAAAGUACUUUCAGUUGUGAGGAAGGCAGUUAAGUUAAUAGCUUGGCUGUUUGACGUUAGCAACAGAAGAAGCACCGGCUAACUCCGUGCCAGCAGCCGCGGUAAUACGGAGGGUGCGAGCGUUAAUCGGAAUUACUGGGCGUAAAGCGCAUGCAGGCGGUCUGUUAAGCAAGAUGUGAAAGCCCGGGGCUCAACCUCGGAACAGCAUUUUGAACUGGCAGACUAGAGUCCUGUAGAGGGGGGUAGAAUUUCA